rnacentral:lncRNA from 1 species
CGCUUUUAUUUCUAAAUUAAUGGUAUUGGUCACCAUUCUGAUUAAGCACUAAAAGGUUCAAUGUUGAUUUCGUCAUUUCGCAAUCGCGACAAUCACAACGGUACUAUUCAGGGUUAAGCGAAGUUAAGCACGGUCAUACAACUUCCUUAUAUCUUUCUAUCAGUGCAAGAGAAAAAGGGGAUCGUUCUUUAGAUGACCAGGGUGGUCUUUGUAUCUAUACGAGUAAAUAUUAGCAGAGGAUGAUGAGAAUCUCCCCCCUCUCCUUCUUACUUUCUCCUUCCUCUUUUCACCGACGUCAAACCCGUGGACGUCUUCCUCACUCCGACGGAUCCGCUCAUUCCGUCGCGACGUCAUUCUAGAGGCUUUUACCUGUUCUCUUUAAACCGACCGAAUCUCACCGAAAAUUCACUCUGAUAUUACCUCCAUUCAAGUAUGCUCUCACGACGGCGUCUUUUCUCCUGUGUGGUAGACAAAAAUCUCGACAAAUGUUAAUAUUCGUUCCAGAAAUCGAAUUCAAUGUUAUUUUGUGACAUAAGUUCUGCAAUAAUUGCGCUGCAGAUAUUUGUGUGAUUUUAAUUGUAAUUCAUGCUGAUAACAAUCUAUUAGCAUAGCUAAAAAGGUAAAUAUAAGCAAAUUUCUAAUUAAAUUCUAGUUUCUACUAGAAUAUUUCAACUUUAGUGUUAACAUAGUUAAAUUUUUUUUUCUAAAAGAUUUGGAAUGUUAAAAUUGUUUUUUCUAUUCGCUAAUAUCCCGAGACAUUAAUAGCAUUAAGGUUGUCUGUGCCACUUGUGCCGUUUUACUAAGGUGCAUGAAACGUACCUAGCCUGUCCCCACGGGGCACACCUGUCUCGCGAGAAGCGUUCGAUGAAGAUCGUGUGCGAUUGAGUACUGUGGUCCAAAAUUAACCCCGAUGCACGAAAAGCACGGAGUAUAGCGUAGUGACGUCAGGAACGACGUAGGUUCCAUGAAGCGGUUCCUCGUUUUAGGUCGAUUGUACAUCACGUCAAGCUUUGACAGUCAAAGGAAAGGACACACUAACAGAAGCUUUGUGUGCAGUGACUGUUAUCAAGUACGGUUGUUGCGAUUGCACAGGCUAACGUGAAACGCAUUUUCCAAAGCAGUUUAUCAAAUAAAUCGAUAUACAACCAAACUAACCGAACAAAGUUUUUUUGAACUUUUUUGUGUAAAUUGUACAGUGCUAUACAUGAUAAAUUAACAAAUAAUACAAUUUAACAAUUUUAAAUAUAUGAAAUGUUCUUAUAUUUCUUAAUCUUAUUGUAUGUUUUUGUAUUUAAUAUUUGUCUGCGAUUUUACCUUCUAUUUUUAGAUGAUUUUAAGUUUUCUAAUUUAUAUUACUUAUUAAAAAGUUAUAAACAUUUAAAGAUUUCUUUAUCAGUUAUUAUAAUAAUUAUAAUAAAUACUUAAAAAAAAGAUCGACAGCCAUUAAUCUGACAAAUGAAAAUCUUGCAGAAGAAAAAAA